rnacentral:rRNA from 1 species
AUCGAUGAAGAAUAUAGCAAAAUAUGAUACUUGGUUUGAAUUGCAGAAUCCCAUUAACAAUUGAGUUUUUGAACGUAAGCUGUGCCCAAAGCCCUUAUUCCUAGGGCGCAUCUGCCUGGGCAUCACGCAUCUCAUCGCCCCCUCGCAUCAUACCUUAAUCCUUAGGUGCGCUGUCGUUGCGGGGCAAAUACUGGCCCCUUAUGGACCUCAAGCUUGCUGUUAGCCUAAAUAUGAGUAAACGACGAUAGACAUCACGGAAAAUGGCAGUUGUAACUUAAAUCUCUUUGUUAUCACGACUACAGCCUGUUCUGUGUCCAAAAUCUAGUACCCUAUCAAGCUUAGGUGCUUCGACUACGACCCCAGGUUAGGCAGGAUUACCUCCUGAGUGUAGGUAUAUAGUUUAGUAGAGGACAAAAAUUUCAAGGGUACCUUAGUAACAACGAUCGAAUCGGGAAUAGCCUAUCCUUAGAAUUGGGUUUCUCCAUCAUUUGAAUUGUUGUUUGCAAAAGAGUCCUCAGUGGCGGACUAGGACUAAGUUCCCUGAAAGAGAGCAUAUGAGAGGGUGAGAUCCCCAUUGUGCUUGGAAUAUGUCGCACCAUGAGGCGCUGUCUACAAGUCUUGUUGUUUAGAAAAGUAGCCUAAAUUUUGUGGUGAAUUCCAUCCAAGGUUAAAUACGGGUGAGAGACCAAUAUAAAACAAGAACCACAAGGUAUAGAUGAAAAUUUCUUUGAAAAGAGAGUCAACGAGUUCUUGGAAUUGUAUAGAGAAAAGUGGAUAGGGGCCGAUAAUACAACCCGAUCGGAUAUGGAAUGACGAUAAGAUAGUUUGAUGAUCGACUUGGGGCUUGGACUGGCGGUGCGAGAUAAAACAAAAGCCGAGUUACGAUGCAAAACUGCAUGCUAACAUAGAUCCUACAAACGGUGUUGGUCGAUUAUGACAACCAAACGGUGUUAAUCAAAGUUGAAAUCUUCUAAGGAGUAUGUAACAACUCACCUGCUGAAUUAACUAGCCCCAAAAAUGGAUGGAUCUUAAGUGUGUGACCUACACCCGUCCAUCGAGGCCAAUUACAUGCCUCGAUAACUUAGAGAGAACGAUAGUCGUCGAGAUCGAGUAGAGUGGCUGUUGGUACAGAUCUUGGUGGUAGUUGUAAAUAUUCAAAUGAGAACUUUGAAGUUUUAAGAGGGGAAAGGUUCCAUGUGAAUGACACUUGGACAAGGUUUAGCGUAUCCUAAGGGUUAGGGAAACCCCAACAGAUAGCGCAUAUCGCUCUUAUUAUGAAUAGGAAUCGGGUUAAAAUUCUUAAACCGAGAUGUGAUAGGAGAAAGUCCCGAGACAUAGGUGAAAGCCUUUUGAAGAGUUAUCUUUUCUAUUUAACAGCCUUCUCGCCCUUGAAUCGGCUCAGGCGAAGGUAGGUCCAGCUACGGGAAGAGCACUGCACGUUGUAAGGUAUCCGAUGUGCUCCUAGAGGCCCUUAAAAAUCUAUAUGACCAAAUAACGUCAACGCUUGAUUAUACGAUAGACCACAUCAGGUCUCUAAGGUGAAAAACCUCUGGUCGAUGGAAUAAUAUAGGCAAGGAAAGUUAGAAAAAUAAAUCCAUAACUUUUGGAAAAGGAUUGGCUCUGAGGGUUGGGCAUAGGGGUACCAGUACAGAACCUGUCGGCUGUCGGUAGACUUCUUGCGCUGCUCCCACGGCUAGAGUGGGUCACCUCAUAUUUGCUAAGUGACGGACCGGGAAUAGUUCCUUUAGGGUCCUUCCCUGCACGUUGAACAGAUAAUUUAGAAUGGGUACGGGCAAGGGCUAUCCAAAUAGUUAAUUAAAAUAAAGUAUUGUGAUGGUAUUAACGGAUGUUCACACAAUGUGAUUUCUUUCUUGUGCUCUAAAUGUCAAAGUGAAGAAAUUUAACCAAAUGUAGGAAAAUGACAGGAGUAACUCUGACUCUCUUACGGUAGCUAAAUUCCUCAUCAUCUAAUAAGAAAUGCAUAUUAAUGGAUUAACGAGAUUUUACUUGUCUACUGACCAGCGAAACCACAACCAAGGGAACAGGCUUGGCAGAACCAACGGUAAAAGCAGACCCUAUUGAGAUUGACUCUACUCCACUUUAUUAAAUCACUUGAGAGGUGUAGUAUAAGUAGGAGCCGAAAGGAGAGAGUGAAAUACCACUAUUAUCAACAUUAUUUUACUUAUUUUGUGAAUCAAAAGUGGAGACAUGCCCUUUAUUUUACUUAUUUUAUGAAUCAAAAGUGGGACACUGCCCUUCUUUUUGGACCCAAGGCUCGCUAUGUGGGCCGAUCCGGGAGGAAGACAUAGUCAGGUAGGGACUGGGGCUGGGGAGGCAUAUAUGUUAAAAUAUAAUGCAGUUGUACUAUGAUGAACUCAAUGAGAAUAGAAAUAUCAUGUGGAAAAGAAGGAUAAAAGCUUAUUUGAUUCUGAUUUCUAGUACAAAUACGAACCGGGAAAGAGUGGACUAACGAUCCUUUAGAACUUCUAAAUUCAAAGAUAGAGGUGUUAGAAAAUUUACCAUAGGUAUAAGUAUCUUUUGGAAGCUAAGCGUUCAUACCGACGUUGAUUUUUUAUCCUUUGAUGUCGGCUCUUCCUAAUUUUAUGAGGAGGAAUUCAUCGGGUGUUAGAUUGUUAACCCAAUAAUUGGGAAGGUGAGCUGGGUUUAGAACAUCAUGAGAUAGGUUAACUUUACCCUAAUGAUGAUAGUGUCAUAAUAUUAAUUCAACCUAGUGCUAGAGGAGUCAUUUGAUUCACUCAAUUGAUUAUCUCGCUCGGUUAAAACCCUAGUAGGGUGAAGCUACCAUGUACUAGAUUAUGAAUGAAUACCUCUAUGUUAAAAACUAGGCUAAAAGAAAUAUAUACUCUCGCUAUAUUCUUUCCAACCCAUAGUAGGGACCUCAUCCUCCAAGGGUACAUGUCGUUGGCUAAGCAAUCAUGGUAAAAGGGUCGCAUUGGCCGCCUUGAAGUAUAGUUUUCAUAGAGCGAUGGGUAGAAUACUUUGUAGA